AUACGUAGGGGGCUAGCGUUAUCCGGAAUUACUGGGCGUAAAGGGUGCGUAGGUGGUUUCUUAAGUCAGGAGUGAAAGGCUACGGCUUAACCGUAGUAAGCUCUUGAAACUGGGAAACUUGAGUGCAGGAGAGGAAAGUGGAAUUCCUAGUGUAGCGGUGAAAUGCGUAGAUAUUAGGAGGAACACCAGUGGCGGAGGCGCUUCUCUGGACUGUAACUGACGCUGAGGCUCGAAAGCGUGGGGAGC
rnacentral:rRNA from 1 species